CAGGCUUAACACAUGCAAGUCGAGCGGCAGCAUCAUCAAAGCUUGCUUUGAUGGAUGGCGACCGGCGCACGGGUGAGUAACACGUAUCCAACCUGCCGACAACACUGGGAUAGCCUUUCGAAAGAAAGAUUAAUACCGGAUGGCAUAGUUUUCCCGCAUGGGAUAAUUAUUAAAGAAUUUCGGUUGUCGAUGGGGAUGCGUUCCAUUAGGCAGUUGGCGGGGUAACGGCCCACCAAACCAACGAUGGAUAGGGGUUCUGAGAGGAAGGUCCCCCACAUUGGAACUGAGACACGGUCCAAACUCCUACGGGAGGCAGCAGUGAGGAAUAUUGGUCAAUGGACGAGAGUCUGAACCAGCCAAGUAGCGUGAAGGAUGACUGCCCUAUGGGUUGUAAACUUCUUUUAUACGGGAAUAAAGUGAGCCACGUGUGGCUUUUUGUAUGUACCGUAUGAAUAAGGAUCGGCUAACUCCGUGCCAGCAGCCGCGGUAAUACGGAGGAUCCGAGCGUUAUCCGGAUUUAUUGGGUUUAAAGGGAGCGUAGGCGGGUUGUUAAGUCAGUUGUGAAAGUUUGCGGCUCAACCGUAAAAUUGCAGUUGAUACUGGCGACCUUGAGUGCAACAGAGGUAGGCGGAAUUCGUGGUGUAGCGGUGAAAUGCUUAGAUAUCACGAAGAACUCCGAUUGCGAAGGCAGCUCACUGGACUGCAACUGACACUGAUGCUCGAAAGCGUGGGUAUCAAACAGGAUUAGAUACCCUGGUAGUCCACACAGUAAACGAUGAAUACUCGCUGUUUGCGAUAUACAGUAAGCGGCCAAGCGAAAGCAUUAAGUAUUCCACCUGGGGAGUACGCCGGCAACGGUGAAACUCAAAGGAAUUGACGGGGGCCCGCACAAGCGGAGGAACAUGUGGUUUAAUUCGAUGAUACGCGAGGAACCUUACCCGGGCUUAAAUUGCAUUUGAAUAUAUUGGAAACAGUAUAGCCGUAAGGCAAAUGUGAAGGUGCUGCAUGGUUGUCGUCAGCUCGUGCCGUGAGGUGUCGGCUUAAGUGCCAUAACGAGCGCAACCCUUAUCUUUAGUUACUAACAGGUCAUGCUGAGGACUCUAGAGAGACUGCCGUCGUAAGAUGUGAGGAAGGUGGGGAUGACGUCAAAUCAGCACGGCCCUUACGUCCGGGGCUACACACGUGUUACAAUGGGGGGUACAGAAGGCAGCUACCUGGUGACAGGAUGCUAACCCCAAAAGCCUCUCUCAGUUCGGAUCGAAGUCUGCAACCCGACUUCGUGAAGCUGGAUUCGCUAGUAAUCGCGCAUCAGCCAUGGCGCGGUGAAUACGUUCCCGGGCCUUGUACACACCGCCCGUCAAGCCAUGAAAGCCGGGGGUACCUAAAGUACGUAACCGCAAGGAGCGUCCUAGGGUAAAAC
rnacentral:rRNA from 1 species